rnacentral:rRNA from 1 species
AGAAUCAACGCUGGCGGCGUGCCUAACACAUGCAAGUCGAACGAGAAAGUGGAGCAAUCCAUGGAGUAAAGUGGCGCACGGGUGAGUAACACGUGACGUAACCUACCCUUGAGUGGGGGAUAACCUAGGGAAACCUGGGCUAAUACCGCAUAAUACCUUCGGGUCAAAGGAGCAAUUCGCUUAAGGAGGGGGUCGCGGCCGAUUAGUUAGUUGGCGGGGUAAUGGCCCACCAAGACUGUGAUCGGUAU